rnacentral:rRNA from 1 species
GCGUGAUGACGAGGCACUACGGUGCUGAAGCAACAAAUGCCCUGCUUCCAGGAAAAGCCUCUAAGCAUCAGGUAACAUCAAAUCGUACCCCAAACCGACACAGGUGGUCAGGUAGAGAAUACCAAGGCGCUUGAGAGAACUCGGGUGAAGGAACUAGGCAAAAUGGUGCCGUAACUUCGGGAGAAGGCACGCUGAUAUGUAGGUGAAGUCCCUCGCGGAUGGAGCUGAAAUCAGUCGAAGAUACCAGCUGGCUGCAACUGUUUAUUAAAAACACAGCACUGUGCAAACACGAAAGUGGACGUAUACGGUGUGACGCCUGCCCGGUGCCGGAAGGUUAAUUGAUGGGGUCAGCGCAAGCGAAGCUCUUGAUCGAAGCCCCGGUAAACGGCGGCCGUAACUAUAACGGUCCUAAGGUAGCGAAAUUCCUUGUCGGGUAAGUUCCGACCUGCACGAAUGGCGUAAUGAUGGCCAGGCUGUCUCCACCCGAGACUCAGUGAAAUUGAACUCGCUGUGAAGAUGCAGUGUACCCGCGGCAAGACGGAAAGACCCCGUGAACCUUUACUAUAGCUUGACACUGAACAUUGAGCCUUGAUGUGUAGGAUAGGUGGGAGGCUUUGAAGUGUGGACGCCAGUCUGCAUGGAGCCGACCUUGAAAUACCACCCUUUAAUGUUUGAUGUUCUAACGUGGACCCGUGAUCCGGGUUGCGGACAGUGUCUGGUGGGUAGUUUGACUGGGGCGGUCUCCUCCUAAAGAGUAACGGAGGAGCACGAAGGUUGGCUAAUCCUGGUCGGACAUCAGGAGGUUAGUGCAAUGGCAUAAGCCAGCUUGACUGCGAGCGUGACGGCGCGAGCAGGUGCGAAAGCAGGUCAUAGUGAUCCGGUGGUUCUGAAUGGAAGGGCCAUCGCUCAACGGAUAAAAGGUACUCCGGGGAUAACAGGCUGAUACCGCCCAAGAGUUCAUAUCGACGGCGGUGUUUGGCACCUCGAUGUCGGCUCAUCACAUCCUGGGGCUGAAGUAGGUCCCAAGGGUAUGGCUGUUCGCCAUUUAAAGUGGUACGCGAGCUGGGUUUAGAACGUCGUGAGACAGUUCGGUCCCUAUCUGCCGUGGGCGCUGGAGAACUGAGGGGGGCUGCUCCUAGUACGAGAGGACCGGAGUGGACGCAUCACUGGUGUUCGGGUUGUCAUGCCAAUGGCACUGCCCGGUAGCUAAAUGCGGAAGAGAUAAGUGCUGAAAGCAUCUAAGCACGAAACUUGCCCCGAGAUGAGUUCUCCCUGACCCUUUAAGGGUCCUGAAGGAACGUUGAAGACGACGACGUUGAUAGGCCGGGUGUGUAAGCGCAGCGAUGCGUUGAGCUAACCGGUACUAAUGAACCGUGAGGCUUAACCUUACAACGCCGAAGGUGUUU